AUUGAACGCUGGCGGCAGGCCUAACACAUGCAAGUCGAGCGAGCGGCGGAUGGGUGAGUAAUGUAUGGGGAUCUGCCCGAUAGAGGGGGAUAACUACUGGAAACGGUAGCUAAUACCGCAUACUAUCGGAUGAACCCAUAUCGGAGUAGCUAGUUGGUGGGGGAAAGGCUCACCAAGGCAACGAUCCGUAGCUGGUUUGAGAGGACGACCAGCCACAAUGGAACUGAGACACGGUCCAGACUCCGACGGGAGGCAGCAGUGGGGAAUAUUGCACAAUGGGCGAAAGCCUGAUGCAGCCAUGCCGCGUGUAUGAAGAAGGCCUUCGGGUUGUAAAGUACUUUCAGCGGGGAGGCGUUACCCGCAGAAGAAGCACCGGCUAACUCCGUGCCAGCAGCCGCGGUAAUAC
rnacentral:rRNA from 1 species